rnacentral:rRNA from 1 species
GACGGAGGAUGCAAGCGUUAUCCGGAAUUAUUGGGCGUAAAGCGUCCGCAGGUGGCUGUUCAAGUCUGCUGUCAAAGCGCAGAGCUUAACUCUGUACAGGCGGUGGAAACUGAAGAGCUAGAGUAUGGUAGGGGUAGAGGGAAUUCCUGGUGUAGCGGUGAAAUGCGUAGAUAUCGGGAAGAACACCAGUGGCGAAAGCGCUCUACUGGGCCAUAACUGACACUGAGGGACGAAAGCUAGGGGAGCGAAAGGG